GAAAAUAAAACAGCCUUUAUAUUACAAGUCAGGGGCCUCAAGGGCUCGAAUACACAAGAGUCAGUGAAAGCACAUCUGAGUACAGACAUAAGUUGAACAAAGAUGCCAUAAAAGGCUAGCACAAAAGCAACACGAUUGAAGAGGCAAGGCCUCCUGCCUAGGAGCCCCCUAACUACUCCUGGUCGUCGGCGGCCUCCAUGUAGUAGUAGGCACCCUCGGGGUAGUAGUAGUCGUCCAUGGUAUCGUCUGGAUCAUGGGCUCCACCAUCUGGUUGCGACAUCCGAGAAGAAUGGAAAAGGGGGGAGAGGAAGCAAAGCAACCGUGAGUACUCAUCCAAAGUACUCGCAAGCAAGGAUCUACACUACAUAUGCAUCGGUGUCAACAAAAUGGGUAGUAUAUGUGGACUGAACUGUAGAAUACCAGAAGAGAAGGGGAAAGCCUAGCCUAUCGAAGACUAGCAUCUUCAAGCAUUCUUGCAACAUCAGAAGAGAUAAGAGUGGCAUAAAGUAAAGUAAUAACAGUGUUAUCAACCUCGGACAUAGAUCCUUUCUCAACUCCCUGCGAGAAAGCAAUCCCAGAGCCAUACUAUCCAGUUAUCACCUCAAGUAUCCAGUUCUAGUUGUAUCAACCGGGAUACAACUCCAAGUGUCCGUUACCGUAGGACAGGCUAUUGAUAGAUGUUUUCUUCCCUGCAGGGGUGCAUCAACUUACCCACCACGCUCGAUUAACUCCGUCCGGACACACUUUCCUGGGUCAUGCCUGGCCUCGGCCAAAUGAUACGCCGCAACCCGACCUAGGCUUAAUAGAGAGGUCAACACACCGGACUAAACCAAUGCCCCCAGGGGUCUUGGGCCAUCUCCAUGGGAACUCCUGCAUGUUGCGUGGGCGGCCGGUGAGCAGACCUAGCUACCUCCUUAAAAGGCAGGAGCUUACUAGUCCAACCCGACGCGCGCCGCUCAGUCGCUGACGUCUAAUAAGCUUCGGCUGAUGCAUACGACGCAGAACGCCCAUACAAUGCCCACGUGAUGGUUAGUGCUAUCAGGCCAGAGGCCCCUCAGAUCAAAUAUCCAAACCGUUAGUGUGUUGGUAGUGCGGUCACGAGCAGAGACUCACGAAAGAUGUGACCCCGUUGCCCCGUCUCGAGGACUCACGACAAGGGCUAAGAGUGCCCGGCCACGCCUCGUAUUCAACUCCCGGGUACCCUCCAGGUCAACCCGUCUCCACAUCACUCGCGGGUACCCCUCAAGGUCGAUCCGUCUUUCCAAGUAACAGUUGUAGAGUCCAAGUAUCCGUGUGUCCAAAUACCAGGGGGGGAACCCGAGGAAUCACCCUCGGUGAAUUCCACUCGAUGUAAUCAUCAAGGUGAACAUAAGAGGAACCACCCUCGAGGUUCACACUUGAGGGGUUGCACGACAGAGUCAUAUUAGGAGUGGCCAAGGAGGAAUCGCCCUCGAUGACCACGACCGAAUAGCUACACUACAGAGAUCUCAUCAGGAGUGAUGUAUGAGGUACCAUCCUCGGCACUCGAUGGUAACUCUAUAGAGUCGAGCAACAAAAGGGGCGUGAUGUGAUGUGAGGUGUUGGGCUCUGGUCAUCGAUCACGUUGCUCGAGUCAUCGAUGAUGAAGCAGGGGCAACAAGGACAAGGUGGGGAUCACUGAUGGAUCACUAACCAACCUAUACUAAGCAGUUUAGGAUAAGCAGGUAAGGUAACAAUAAGCAGGUUACAAAAGCAGGCUAUGCAUUAGAAUAGGAGAAAACAAUAACAGUAGCAAAAUCUAAUGCAAGCAUGAGAGAAUGGAAUGGGCGAUAUCGGGAUGAUCAAAGGGGGGGCUUGCCUGGAAGCUCCAUGGAAAAGGAAGAAGUGUCGUUGUCGACGUAGUCGAUCACCGGGGCAUCAUCGGCCUCGGGGUCUACCGGAGAGAAGAGGGGGGAGAAACAAUAAAUAUAAGCAAACAGGUGCAACACUAAGCAUGACAUGACAAAAAGUAGAACUAGGAUCGACCUAACGUAGUACUACACGUUGCAGACGAAGGGGAUAAACAUCUGAGGAUGAAUUCCCGCCAUUAAGUGGGUUCCGGACAGAGGAAAAGAGGGGAAAAGUUCCAUGUUUAGGAUGAUAGGGGCAUGUGACAGAUGAACGGACCACAUAUUCGGAUUUAUUGAAUUUUUCUGAGCAACUUUCAUGUAGAAAACCUUUUCAUCCGAGAUACAGUUUAUUUUCUAUGAAUUUUCAAAGUUUUAAAACAUUUUCUAGAUUUCUGGAAUAUAUCUAAAUUCGAAUUUAAACAGUGUAUUACUUUUUAUACACACACGCAGCUAGCCUAUUAGAAUGACAGGUGGGGUCCAAUGGCUGAGUCAGCAUACAUAGUCAGCAAGUCCAUAGUCAAAGUGUGAAUAGUGGCCAUGGGGCCUACUUGUCAUUGACUACUAUUUUAACUAAAGGGUUAUUUAGUGUGAGGGACCACCUGUCACAAAACAUUAGGCUAUUUAACAUAAAAAGUAGCUGCCCUAAACUAAACUAAUUAGUACUAACUAAUCUGGAUAGGGCCGGCCUCAUACCCAGAGUACACGCACGCACACCACACAACACACUCGGCCAUGGCAGUGGCCAUGGCCUGUAGCAACAGCAACCGGCGGUAGCAGUACCUAGCAGCAGCGCAUAGCAGGAGCAGCUAGUGGGAGCAGGACAUCACGAUGACAAGUAGUAGCGGCAAUAGUCGAGUAGCAACAACAACAAGAAGUAGCAGGGCGAGUGCGAGAGCCGCGAGUGGCGCGGGCGCUCGGCCAGGGUGCAGUGGGUGCACGCACGCGUGGACGGACACAACCAGGGGUGAACGAGGGCGCGGGCUGCAGCAGGCAUGUGACGGCGGGCACGAGCGUACACAUGCGGCAGGGGCAUGCGGGCGCGUGCGUGGACGCGAUGCUUCAGCAAUGGCGGCCUCAGCGAGCGCAGGCAACAUACGGCGACGGAUCGACGGGGCAAAACAGGGGAAUCAAGGGAGGAGCUCACAGUGAGCACGAAGGCGAGGUCGGGGAGGCCGGAGGUGGACCGGAGCAGCGGUAAUCGACGCCGGACGCCGGCGAUGUACGCGUUGAAGACGAGGUCGAUGGCGAGUGUACGGGCCAUCCUUGCUCGAUUCAGUGCUCGGGGUAGACGAAGUAGACCGCGACAGUUCUCCUGGACCUCUUGGCGCGACGAGAGGAGGCCAGUGGCCGCGACAUCGACGACGACAUGGGGACGGCGGCGCUCGGGCGCGCUUCCG
rnacentral:lncRNA from 1 species